UACGUAGGGUGCGAGCGUUGUCCGGAAUUAUUGGGCGUAAAGAGCUUGUAGGUGGCUCGUCGCGUCGGGAGUGAAAACCCGCGGCUUAACCGCGGGCCUGCUUUCGAUACGGGCAGGCUAGAGGUAGGUAGGGGAGAAUGGAAUUCCCGGUGUAGCGGUGAAAUGCGCAGAUAUCGGGAGGAACACCGGUGGCGAAGGCGGUUCUCUGGGCCUUACCUGACGCUGAGGAGCGAAAGCGUGGGGAGCGAACAGG
rnacentral:rRNA from 1 species